rnacentral:rRNA from 1 species
CAGUAGCCACGGUAAUACGUAGGGUGCAAGCGUUAAUCGGAAUUACUGGGCGUAAAGCGUGCGCAGGCGGUUAUAUAAGACAGAUGUGAAAUCCCCGGGCUCAACCUGGGAACUGCAUUUGUGACUGUAUAGCUAGAGUACGGCAGAGGGGGAUGGAAUUCCGCGUGUAGCAGUGAAAUGCGUAGAUAUGCGGAGGAACACCGAUGGCGAAGGCAAUCCCCUGGGCCUGUACUGACGCUCAUGCACGAAAGCGUGGGGAGCAAACAGGAUUAGAUACCCGCGUAGUCCCUGUCUCUUAUAA